rnacentral:rRNA from 1 species
ACGGAAGGCAGCAGUGGGGAAUAUUGCACAAUGGGGGAAACCCUGAUGCAGCAACGCCGCGUGCGGGAAGACGGUCUUCGGAUUGUAAACCGCUUUUCUUAGUGAAGAAACAAAUGACGGUAGCUAAGGAAUAAGCAUCGGCUAACUACUUGCCAGCAGCCGCGGUAAUACGUAGGAUGCGAGCGUUGUCCGGAUUUACUGAGUGUAAAGGGAGCGCAGGCGGGACUUCAAGUUGGAUGUGAAAUGUCGAGGCUUAACCGCGUCACCGCAUCCAAAACUGUAGUUCUUGAGUGGAGUAGAGGCAAGCGGAAUUCCGAGUGUAGCGGUGAAAUGCGUAGAUGUUCGGAGGAACACCAGUGGCGAAGGCGGCUUGCUGGGCUCUAACUGACGCUGAGGCUCGAAAGUGGGGGGAGCAAACAGGAUUAGAUACCCUGGUA